GCCCCUGUAGUUCAAUGGAUAGAACUGCGGACUUCUAAGCCGUCAAUGUUGGUUCGAUUCCAACCGGGGGCACCG
rnacentral:tRNA from 1 species